rnacentral:rRNA from 1 species
CGACGUAGGUAACCUGCCUGGUAGCGGGGGAUAACUAUUGGAAACGAUAGCUAAUACCGCAUAAGAACAUUUACUGCAUGGUAGAUGUUUAAAAGGUGCAAAUGCAUCACUACCAGAUGGACCUGCGUUGUAUUAGCUAGUAGGUGAGGUAACGGCUCACCUAGGUGACGAUACAUAGCCGACCUGAGAGGGUGAUCGGCCACACUGGGACUGAGACACGGCCCAG